CUGAACUUUUGGCAAAUAUUUAAAAGCAAACAGGUCUUUGACCCCUGGGGUGCCGAGGGUCAGUCAUGCGUCACUGCACGGUUCCUCCCCGUCUUCCACCCACCGAUGCCGUCCAAACAUUGGAAAAGUGAUAAGCUGCAUAGGAUGAGCUGGAGGCGUGCACAUGUGCUGCUGAAGAGUUGCACUGUGUUCAUGCCAGCAGUGAGAGAGGAGUUUACCCCUUCUGAGGGAACCGAUUGGCCGACGAGGAUGUUCACGCGAACACACACACACACACACACACAGACUUUAAGCUUCCAUUCAUUCAAAACAACGUGCAGCAGCGUUAAUACGUAACUGUGUUUUUAGGAUAAAGAGUGUUUGCAUUAGUCUUUUUCCAAAAAUAAAAACUCUAACGUCA